rnacentral:rRNA from 1 species
AGAGUUUGAUCCUGGCUCAGGAUGAACGCUGGCGGUCUGCUUAACACAUGCAAGUCGAACGAAUCCUUUCGGGGAUUAGUGGCGGACGGGUGAGUAACGCGUGAGAAUCUGCCAAAAGGACUGGGACAACCACUGGAAACGGUGGCUAAUACCAGAUGUGCCGCAACGUAAAAGAGGAAACUCGCCUUUUGAGGAGCUCGCGUCUGAUUAGCUAGUUGGUGAGGUAAAAGCUCACCAAGGCAACGAUCAGUAGCUGGUCUGAGAGGACGACCAGCCGCACUGGGACUGAGACACGGCCCAGACUCCUACGGGAGGCAGCAGUGGGGAAUUUUCCGCAAUGGGCGCAAGCCUGACGGAGCAAUACCGCGUGGGGGAGGAAGGCUCUUGGGUCGUAAACCUCUUUUCUCAGGGAAGAAUAAAUGACGGUACCUGAGGAAUCAGCAUCGGCUAACUCCGUGCCAGCAGCCGCGGUAAUACGGAGGAUGCAAGCGUUAUCCGGAAUGAUUGGGCGUAAAGCGUCCGCAGGUGGCAGUGUAAGUCUGCUGUCAAAGGUCAGGGCUCAACCCUGAACAGGCAGUGGAAACUACACAGCUAGAGUGCGGUGGGGGCAGAGGGAAUUCCCAGUGUAGCGGUGAAAUGCGUAGAGAUUGGGAAGAACACCGGUGGCGAAAGCGCUCUGCUAGGCCGCAACUGACACUCAUGGACGAAAGCUAGGGGAGCGAAUGGGAUUAGAUACCCCGGUAGUCC